rnacentral:rRNA from 1 species
GAGACCCGUGCCCACUGUUACCAGCAUGUCCUUCGGGAUGAUGGGUACUCUGUGGGGACCGCCGGUGUCAAAUCGGAGGAAGGUGCGGGCCACGGUAGGUCAGUAUGCCCCGAAUCUCCCGGGCUACACGCGGGCUACAAUGAAUGGGACAAUGGGUCCCUUCCCUGAAAAGGGUUGGCAAUCUCACAAACCCAUCCUUAGUUCGGAUCGAGGGCUGUAACUCGCCCUCGUGAAGCUGGAAUCCGUAGUAAUCGCGUUUCAAUAUAGCGCGGUGAAUAC